ACUCCUACGGGAGGCAGCAGUGGGGAAUAUUGCACAAUGGGGAAACCCUGAUGCAGCCAUGCCGCGUGUGUGAAGAAGGCCUUCGGUUGUAAAGCACUUUCAGUAGGGAGGAAGGUAGUGUAGUUAACACCUGCACUAUUUGACGUUACCUACAGAAGAAGCACCGGCUAACUCCGUGCCAGCAGCCGCGGUAAUACGGAGGGGUGCGAGCGUUAAUCGGAAUUACUGGGCGUAAAGCGCAUGCAGGCGGCCUGUUAAGUCAGAUGUGAAAGCCCGGGGGCUUAACCUCGGAAUUGCAUUUGAAACUGGCAGGCUAGAGUCUUGUAGAGGGGGUAGAAUUUCAGGUGUAGCGGUGAAAUGCGUAGAGAUCUGAAGGAAUACCAGUGGCGAAGGCGGCCCCUGGACAAAGACUGACGCUCAGAUGCGAAAGCUGGGGAGCAAACAGGAUUAGAUACCCUGGUAGCACAGAG
rnacentral:rRNA from 1 species